rnacentral:rRNA from 1 species
GACGAACGCUGGCGGCGUGCUUAACACAUGCAAGUCGAACGGAAAGGCCCCUUUGGGGGUACUCGAGUGGCGAACGGGUGAGUAACACGUGAGUAACCUGCCCUUGACUUCGGGAUAACUUCAGGAAACUGGGGCUAAUACCGGAUAGGAAUCCUUGCUGCAUGGUGGGGGUUGGAAAGCUUCGGCGGUUUUGGAUGGACUCGCGGCUUAUCAGCUUGUUGGUGGGGUAGUGGCUUACCAAGGCUUUGACGGGUAGCCGGCCUGAGAGGGCGACCGGCCAAAUUGGGCCUGGGAUCGGGCCAGAACUCCACGGGGGGGCGGCGGGGGGAAGUUUUGCACAUUGGGGGAAGGCCUAAUGCGGCAAGCCGGGGGGGGGAAUGACGCCCUUGGGUUUGAAAACGGCUUCAGCAGGGGCGAAGCUUGUGGUGACGGUACCUGCAGAAGAAGCACCGGCUAACUACGUG